UACCAUAAAAUCACGAGCACACUCGGCAAAGUCAGUCAUAAAACAGCCAUAAAACCUGAAGAAGAAGAAGAAGAAGAAAAAGAGGAAGAAGAAGAAAAAGAAGAAAACAACAACAACAACAACAACAACAACGCCUUCACCUGGGUGAAGGUGGGAGGGGUGGAGAUGGAAAGGCGACGACGUCAAGCUGCAGGCAGUCUAAACAAGUGAACACAGGGAUACAGGAACAAGAAGCUCUCCUUGGACCCUGGGAAGUAUGGAUGUCUCCUGCCAUUUGUUGCCUAUUCUGCCAUCUUUCCGUUGCUCAAGCUAACCAAUCUCCCUGUGGGUAACCUUCCACCAACUUGCACGAGUCACCCCUGGGGAGGCUGCAGGGCCUGGGUCAGCCAUAUGGUGGCAGAAGCCCCUGGAGGAGCCAGCCCGAUAAGCUGGAUCAGCUUCAGCACUUCCUGACCGAGGCUUGGGCCGCACCACCAAGCAGGCUUUGAACAAAGAGCGUGAAAACCUCCCGUGUGCUAGAGAGUAGCGGGGCACUGUGCAUCAAAAUAUCAGUGCAGGUUGAAAGGCACAAAAUAAGGUUGUAAUUUCAGACAUGCCAAAUUACUUGACAUAGUGUUUUAUACUUCUAUACUUCCAUGUGCCUUUUGGGAUUUAACUUGCUUUGGCAAAGAGGGAGAGCGUCUACAGCAUUUCCCCAAGGAUAUGCAUGCAGAGGGCAGAAAACAUCAAUCAGACAUCUGCUACCUUACACUUUGGAUCUUUGCUGAUAUGACUUGUCUUGUCAAAUGUUUUGAAUCGUUCGAGGUGAACUGAACAAAACGAAGCAUUCUCUAGAAAAGAAUAGCUCAUUUUGGAUCAAAUAUUUUGACAUUGUCAGUGUUUAAAGAUGCAUUUAUGAAGAAAAGGAUUGUAUGUGACAAAUUGUAUGAACUUCAAUUCUGAUUUAAGUCCAUUAUGCUAAACUAAGGCUGCAGAAUGAGAGCUGUCUCCCCUGCAAUAAAAAGAGUUAAGCUUGUAAACUAGUGGGAGUACGAUCUUCGGAAACAUCUGUACAGAUGUGUCCGCUCCCAGAAACAACAACGUGUCUUGUGUUGGUAGUCCGAGGAAAUCACUAUCUUGUUUAAGCAAAAUAGGCACAGUUGUUAACAAUAGAUGUUAACAUCUUGCAAAAGUUUGUUCUGAGGGUUUGAAAAAAAAAUACAGUUUCAACUUGACAGUGUCAUUACUUUGUUCAAGGUUCCUAAAGGAAUACUGGCAUGGUGAAGGUUUUGCUUAAGUUCUGCCAGUGUAGCAAUCUGCUAAAUUAAAAGUUUAAGUUCACUCUUGUAAAAUCACCGUUGAGUAAAAGUAAACUUUGUUACAAAAAAAACAAAUAAAAGAUGAGUCAGCAACACACAUUUACUGUAGGGAUGAGCUGUUGAUGUAUGUACAGACAGUUGCAGGCUAUGGGUGGAGGCUGAGGAACAUGAUGACGUUUGAAUUUGGUGAUAUUCACUUACCUUACCCAUUCCUUAUUUCUGUCACUCUUCAGUUCCUUCCUUCCCUUAUUUAAUCCACCUAAUGUAAGUGAUGUCUUCCUCAAUAAUCAAGAACAAUAAUGUUUGGUUUUAGCAAUGCAGCUAGUUAGCAAUGCUAAUGAUCUAGCCAGACAUUGAUCAGGGAAACACAAACCAUAAAUACUGCCAAAUGAAUGGUGUUUGGUGGAAUGUUAACAUAGCUAAUAUAAUUUUAAAAUGUGACCUUAAAUAUUAGAGUUACUUAAGCUUAUCUCCAGAUAAUGGCACAGGUUAGAUGCCUGUUCCAUUUACAGUUUGUCAGUUUCAGCGCAGUGUUUUCAGCAGGUUGUGUAAAAAAAACAUGUGAAACCAGCACACAAUCUCUGAUACACAGAUAACAUGUUGUGGACGCGAGUUAUGUGAACAGUAUUCUUCCAAAUUGGAUAUAAUUAACUGACAUCAAUCCAAACUGAAAACAGUUUAGGAAACUGAUAUUUGGUGAUUAAUGUAAAGCUUGGUUAUGCAUGGUUAUUCUUUUAAAGCUUGUAAAAUUUUAUUUCUCAAUGUCCAUAAAGAGGGUAAACAUUAGCAUUUUCAGGCAUCACACUAAUUUCACAAGAAAAGUUGGUUCACAUAUCAAUUAUGUAUGUCAUGCUACAUUAAAGAACUCGAGUUCAGAAAGUUUACGAGUUGAAACAAAUCAAUAUUUCAAAUUACUGUAUGCUGUAGGUAUGCUGUGUAUGUCAUAUUGAGUCAACAUGCAUGCAUACACAAGACGAAGACAGCUACUUACUUACUGUCUGGUUACACUCAAAUCAAUCACAGAUGUAACAAAUUCACACAAAUUUUCAACGGCAAGACAUUAAGGGUUACAGAGUAAGCAUAUUCAGGGGAAUGUUUGCUUGAUUGAGAGGCCUCUCAGGCUUUCAUACUCUCCUGUGGUAGCUGCUUGCUCAUCCUCAGCUCCAACCAGGCUCCUCGCACGUAUGUUUUUUAUGCGCUCCAAGCAACUGAUGAGAAGGCGAUUAACAGUAAACCCAACUCCAGCUUCAAUAAGUCCCAUCAGAAAAUGUCAGAGGUGCUACAUCUGCAUUUUUCUAGUCUGUCUAAAUGUGGGCCGUGAACCUGGCAACCCAAAAGCAUUUCAAUUUAAGCAUUAUAGUUGUUAGACUUGUUGAUGACCAGCAAAGCAUCAUUAAGUAUAUAGUUAUUAACUAAAUGACUGAC